ensembl:snoRNA
GGUGGCAGCGAUGACCUACCUGCCCUCCCUGAGAACAAAAUUUGAUAAUGAGAAUCUUUGUUAUAGAUUCAAGCUCUGAGCCAGA